rnacentral:rRNA from 1 species
UGUGGCAAGCGUUGUCCGGAAUCAUUGGGCGUAAAGCGCCGCCCCAGGCGGUCCCUUAAGUCUGAUGUGAAAGCCCACGGCUCAACCGUGGAGGGUCAUUGGAAACUGGGGGACUUGAGUGCAGAAGAGGAAAGCGGAAUUCCAAGUGUAGCGGUGAAAUGCGUAAAGGAUUGGAGGAACACCGCGUGGCCAGGGCGGCUUCCUGGUCUGUAGCUGACGCUGAUGCCGCGAAAGCGUGGGGAGCAUACAGGAUUAGAUACCCUGGUAGUCCACGCCGCUAAACGAUUACUGUCGAGUGCUAAGUGUUAGGGGGGUUUCCGCCCCGUUAGUGCUGCAGCUAACGCAUUAAGCACUCCGCCUGGGGAGUACGGGCGCAAGACUGAAACUCAAAGGAAUUGACGGGGGCCCGCACAAGCGGUGGAGCAUGUGGUUUAAUUCGAAGCAACGCGAAGAACCUUACCAAGUCUUGACAUCCCGCCGACCGCCUAAGAGACUAUGCCUUCCCUUCGGGGA